AGCAUAUCAAUAAGCGGAGGAAAAGAAACCAACAGGGAUUGCCUCAGUAACGGCGAGUGAAGCGGCAAGAGCUCAGAUUUGAAAUCUGGCCCCGCUCUGGGGUCCGAGUUGUAGUCUGUAGAGGAUGCUUCGGGGUAGGCCAGGCCCAAGUUCCUUGGAAUGGGAUGUCAGAGAGGGUGAGAAUCCCGUCUGUGGCCCUGAAUCCCUCCCCUGGGUGAAGCUCCCUCGACGAGUCGAGUUGUUUGGGAAUGCAGCUCAAACCGGGUGGUAAAUCUCAUCUAAAGCUAAAUACCUGCCAGAGACCGAUAGCGCACAAGUAGAGUGAUCGAAAGAUGAAAAGCACUUUGAAAAGAGAGUUAAACAGCACGUGAAAUUGUUGAAAGGGAAGCGCUCGCGAUCAGACUUGCCCGCGGUCCCUCAGCCGACGGUCGUCCGGCGGCGCAAUGGGCCGCGGGCAGGCCAGCAUCGGUUCGGGGGGUGGAAGAAUAGUCCUGGGAAUGUGGCUCCCUUCGGGGUGCGUUAUAGCCCAGGUCGUGACGCCAUCUGCUCCGGGCCGAGGCCUGCGCUGCGGCAAGGAUGCUGGCAUAAUGGUCGCCAGCGACCCGUCUUGAAACACGGACCAAGGAGUCUAACAUCCACGCGAGUGUUUGGGUGCCAAACCCUUACGCGCAAUGAAAGUGAACGGAGGUGGGAACCCAUUAGGGUGCACCAUCGACCGAUCCUGAAGUUCACGGAUGGAUUUGAGUACGAGCGUGGCUGUUGGGACCCGAAAGAUGGUGAACUAUGCCUGAAUAGGGUGAAGCCAGAGGAAACUCUGGUGGAGGCUCGCAGCGGUUCUGACGUGCAAAUCGAUCGUCAAAUUUGGGUAUAGGGGCGAAAGACUAAUCGAACCAUCGCCGCUAGGUGGUCAAGAGACGUGGGCCGAGGCCUUCGUCUAGUCCCCACUCACCGGGGCGACGCUGUCAAAUUGCGGGGACACUCUUAGAGCUCGAGCGACCGCAGCCUGACCGAGAGGUGGGUGCGCACCGAGGCUGAGCUCGGGGAUGGUCAGACCGUUCGAGAUUGGGCGAUCCGCAGCCAAGCCCCUCACGAGCGACGCGCUCCGCGGGGAGAGGUUCACAGACUAGAUGGCAGUGGGUCAGGCCCUCCGUGGCCGGCUCAAGGUAUAGUCGGACCGCCGGGAGACCGGCCGGCGAGGCGAGGGCCCUACGCGUGUGCUGAGUGGCCCGUGUUGGCGGGUAACGGCAUGCCCACGUCUCGCUGGGGGUGGCGCAUCCGUGAGGGAUGCGCCCCCUGGAGGAGUCGCUAGUAGCUGGUUCCUGCCGAAGUUUCCCUCAGGAUAGCAGUAACGUGUGGCAGUUUUAUGAGGUAAAGCGAAUGAUUAGAGGCCUUGGGGUUGAAACAACCUUAACCUAUUCUCAAACUUUGAAUAUGUAAGAAGUCCUUGUUCCUUAGUUGAACGUGGACAUUUGAAUGUACCGUUACUAGUGGGCCAUUUUUGGUAAGCAGAACUGGCGAUGCGGGAUGAACCGAGCGCGGGGUUAAGGUGCCGGAAUGCACGCUCAUCAGACACCACAAAAGGUGUUGGUUCAUCUAGACAGCAGGACGGUGGCCAUGGAAGUCGGAACCCGCUAAGGAGUGUGUAACAACUCACCUGCCGAAUGAACUAGCCCUGAAAAUGGAUGGCGCUCAAGCGUGCUACCCAUACCCCGCCGCCAGGGUAGGAACGAGGCCCUGGCGAGUAGGCAGGCGUGGGGGUCCGUGACGAAGCCUCGGGAGCGAUCCUGGGUCGAACGGCCCCUAGUGCAG
rnacentral:rRNA from 1 species